ACGGAGGGUCCAAGCGUUAUCCGGAAUCAUUGGGUUUAAAGGGUCCGCAGGCGGUCAAUUAAGUCAGAGGUGAAAUCCCGUCGCUCAACGACGGAACUGCCUUUGAUACUGGUUGACUUGAGUCAUAUGGAAGUAGAUAGAAUGUGUAGUGUAGCGGUGAAAUGCAUAGAGAUUACACAGAAUACCGAUUGCGAAGGCAGUCUACUACGUAUGUACUGACGCUGAGGGACGAAAGCGUGGGGAGCGAACAGG
rnacentral:rRNA from 1 species